rnacentral:rRNA from 1 species
GAUGAACGCUAGCGGCAGGCUUAACACAUGCAAGUCGAGGGGUAGAUUACUUCGGUAAUUGAGACCGGCGCACGGGUGCGUAACGCGUAUACAAUCUACCUUUUACAGAGGGAUAGCCCAGAGAAAUUUGGAUUAAUACCUCAUAGUAUUUUCGAAUCGCAUGAUUUGAUUAUUAAAGUUCCAACGGUGAAAGAUGAGCAUGCGUCCCAUUAGCUAGAUGGUAAGGUAACGGCUUACCAUGGCUACGAUGGGUAGGGGUCCUGAGAGGGAGAUCCCCCACACUGGUACUGAGACACGGACCAGACUCCUACGGGAGGCAGCAGUGAGGAAUAUUGGACAAUGGGCGCAAGCCUGAUCCAGCCAUGCCGCGUGCAGGAUGACGGUCCUAUGGAUUGUAAACUGCUUUUAUACAGGAAGAACCACUCCGACGUGUCGGAGCUUGACCGGUACUGUAAGAAUAAGGAUCGGCUAAC